GACGAACGCUGGCGGCGUGCUUAACACAUGCAAGUCGAACGAUGAAGCGGGUGCUUGCACUCGUGGAUUAGUGGCGAGCGGGCGAGUAACACGUGAGUAACCUGUCCUUUUCUUUGGGAUAACGGCUGGAAACGGCUGCUAAUACUGGAUAUUCAGGCUGCAUCGCAUGGUGUGGUUUGGAAAGGUUUUUUCUGGGAUUGGGUGGGCUCGCGGCCUAUCAGCUUGUUGGUGGGGUGAUGGCUUACCAAGGCUUUGACGGGUAGCCGGCCUGAGAGGGUGGUCGGGCUCACAGGGACUGAGAUCCGGCCCAGACUACUACGGGAGGCAGCAGUGGGGAAGAUUGCACAAUGGAGGAAAGUUUGAUGCAGCGACGCCGCGUGGAGGGUGUAGGCCUUCGGGUUGUGAACUCCUUUUUCUCGCGAAAAAGGCACAGUUUUGGCUGUGUUGAUGGUAGUGGGGGAAGAAGCGCCGGCUAACUACGUG
rnacentral:rRNA from 1 species